CCCAAAUCCUCCACUAUGUCCUUGGACCGGGACUCAUCACCACCACCCUCCUUCAGCAGGGACUGGUUCUUCCCUUCUCCUUCCUUCAUUCACCAAUCACCUCCCAAAACCCAUAAAUACCGUCGCAGAUUCUCCACCACCCCCAGAAUCUCUCAUCAAAAUCCUCCCGAUUCCAAUCUCCCCAAAACGUCCUCGUUUGCCCCGCCCGUUUCGUCCUCCACUACCACCUCUUACAGAGAUCCUAAGUAUGCCAGGCUUCGCCGCCGACGAGUCGAGUUCCCCCGCCA
rnacentral:misc_RNA from 1 species